rnacentral:rRNA from 1 species
UCCGUAGGGUGCAAGCGUUGUCCGGAAUUAUUGGGCGUAAAGAGCUCGUAGGCGGUUUGUCGCGUCUGCUGUGAAAACUCGGGGCUUAACUCCGGGCCUGCAGUGGGUACGGGCAGACUAGAGUGCGGUAGGGGAGACUGGAAUUCCCGGUGUAGCGGUGAAAUGCGCAGAUAUCGGGAAGAACACCCGUGGCGAAGGCGGUUCUCUGGGACGGUACUGACGCUGAGACGCGAAAGCGUGGGGAGCGAACAGG